rnacentral:tRNA from 1 species
GUUUCCGUGGUGUAGCGGUUAUCACGUGUGCUUCACACGCACAAGGUCCCUGGUUCGAUCCCGGGCGGGAACA